GAUCUCUUGUAGAUCA
rnacentral:misc_RNA from 1 species